AUUAUACCGCGAAACUGCGAAUGGCUCAUUAUAUAAGUUAUCGUUUAUUUGAUAGCACCAUACUACUUGGAUAACCGUGGUAAUUCUAGAGCUAAUACAUGCUAAAAAUCCCGACUUCGGAAGGGAUGUAUUUAUUAGAUUAAAAACCAAUGCCCUCGUGGCUAACUGGUGAUUCAUAAUAACUUCUCGAAUCGCAUGGCCUUGCGCCGGCGAUGGUUCAUUCAAAUUUCUUCCCUAUCAACUUUCGAUGCGAGGGUAUUGUCCUCGCAUGGUUACAACGGGUAACGGAGGGUUAGGGCUCGACCCCGGAGAAGGAGCCUGAGAAACGGCUACUACAUCCAAGGAAGGCAGCAGGCGCGCAAAUUACCCAAUCCCGACACGGGGAGGUAGUAACGAUAAAUAUUAAUACAGGGCUCUUUCGGGUCUUGUAAUUGGAAUGAGUACAAUUUAAAUCCCUUAACGAGGAACAAUUGGAGGGCAAGUCUGGUGCCAGCAGCCGCGGUAAUUCCAGCUCCAAUAGCGUAUAUUAAAGUUGUUGUGGUUAAAAAGCUCGUAGUUGAACCUUGGGCCUGGCUGGCCGGUCCCCCUCACCGGGUGCACUGAUCCAGCCGGGCCUUUCCCUCUAUGGAACCCCAUGGCCUUCACUGGUCGUGGCGGGGAAAUAGGACUUUUACUUUGAAAAAAUUAGAGUGCUCCAGGCAGGCCAAUGCUCGAAUAGUUCAGCAUGGAAUAAUAAAAUAGGACGCGUGGUUCUAUUUUGUUGGUUUCUAGGACCGCCGUAAUGAUUAAUAGGGACAGUCGGGGGCAUCAGUAUUCAAUUGUCAGAGGUGAAAUUCUUGGAUCUAUUGAAGACUAACUACUGCGAAAGCAUUUGCCAAGGAUGUUUUCAUUGAUAAGGAACGAAAGUUAGGGGAUCGAAGACGAUCAGAUACCGUCGUAGUCUUAACUAUAAACUAUGCCGACUAGGGAUCGGACGAUGUUAUUACUUGACUCGUUCGGCACCUUUCGAGAAAUCAAAGUGCUUGGGCUC
rnacentral:rRNA from 1 species